rnacentral:pre_miRNA from 1 species
UUAAUACUCCCUCCGUCGGGAAAUACUUGUCCUAGAAAUGGAUGUAUCUAGACUUAUUUUAGUUAUAGAUACAUCCAAUUUAUCCAUUCUUAGAACAAAAAUUUCCCGCCAGCCGAAGAGGGAGUACCUA